GACGUAGGGGACGAGCGUUGUCCGGAUUCAUUGGGCGUAAAGCGCGCGUAGGCGGUUUGGUAAGUCGGAUGUGAAAACCAGAGGCUCAACCUCUGGCCUGCAUCCGAUACUGCCCGACUAGAGGUAGGUAGGGGAGAUCGGAAUUCCUGGUGUAGCGGUGAAAUGCGCAGAUAUCAGGAGGAACACCGGAGUGGCGAAAGGCAG
rnacentral:rRNA from 1 species